AGAGCAGCAUCUGCCCCGUCCAGUGGGAGGUGAUUCACUGAGGUCUAGGCAGGCGUCUUGGCACAGCCUCAAGGCAUGGGCAUGAGGAGCAGGGCCAGGCCCUUGGGCGACAGAUGAGAACGAGGCAGGGUCCUGGCAGGUCUGAGAGGCUGAGCCACAGGACUUCACACUGCCCCUGCCUGCUGGUUUCACCUCUAGUGAGACACUGUCCCUCCUCAAAUUGCAUCCCAGUGAUUGAAAACAACACUUCUCUCUAGAUCCCUGAACACAGGAUGCCCCCGCCAUCAUUUACACCAUUUGCUCCCUGAAAACUUACACCACCCUCCCCCCUUGGAAAACUCAGGUCUCAGCUCAAGCACAUGGCUUCUAUGACACUCCCCCCCACACACAUGUCUAUGCUCUCUGAUGGCUUGGGGGGCUCCGACCCCUGCACCCUCUGCCUUGUGGCACUGUGCAACAAUGGCCUUUCUCUUACUGUCCUGAUUUGUGGCUGUCUCCUCACAGUGGUGAGCAAUGCCAGGGCAGGGACAGACACUUCUCCAAAUCUAGAGCCCUAGGCAAUCAAAGGCACUUUUGUGUUCUCCAAGGAACCUUAGGAUCUCCAGGGAAGACACUGUGAAGGAGGCGAUCCAGAUAAGUGGACAUGAGUAUUCAGUUAGUAGGAGUCCUACAAUAUUGUGUCUCUAAAUCAGUGUCUCAUGAAUUUGGAAAGUGGCCCUCCAUACUUCAGAGCUAGCACAUACUGGAGUGCUCCUUGGAGGCAAGGGAGUUCCCAAAUUGCAAGGCUAAGGACUCACAUGCUGGACCAAGUUGUCCUCCUAGUGGUCACUUCAUGAGGCCCACAUGGGCCACCAGCCGGCCACAUUAAAAAAAUCAUAUCCUACAUCUUCCAUUCUAUAAGACAGCCUAUUUACUUAAGAUGUUUCUUAGAGUCUUCUCCUUUGGGGACUGGCUAAUGUUACAGUAGAUGGAUGGGUCUGACCUACCCAGAUCUUCCUCUGUUGAUUUUUCAAAUUCAUCAGAGAACAAGAGAGUUGGGUACUUUCUUAAAUGCAUUGAACCACUUGGUGGCCCCUAUCUAGUAGUUGGGUAUCAAUGAAGAAACCAUGACAAGACAUGUUUGGACACGAGCAAGAAUCCUUCAUUCAUGCUGCACACACAGGCUUUACCAUCCAUUUGUAUCAGUAUCAUCCAUGACCUGAAAACAGCAUUACUUCACGGACGCCACAAUUUUUCAGUUACAAUUUAAAAAUCAACACUCACAAGAGGGGAAAUUGUGUUAGUCUCUCAUAUGCAGAGAAUAAGCCAUAAUUUCCUUGAAGUUUUACCCAUGGGUUACAGAGAAUGUAGGUUUUAAAAUAUUUGCCUGUAUCUGAGUAGAAACAAUCUUACUCCUCAGUGUAUGCUCUUAAAAAAAAAAAAAAACAAAAAUAACCUUAUUUGGACUCUAUUCUGCCUUCUAAGACAACAACUAUCACUUCUCCUUCCCUACUUUGCCCUCUUCUCUCUGUCAAAUGUCUUUUAUCACAAAGAAAUUGCAAGGCUUCGGGUCAUACUCAGCUUUUCCCUUGGUUUCAGUAGGGCUCCUUGGUGAACACAUACCCUGUUAUGAUUAAAAACAUUUGCCAGCUCAAAAUGUCUUCUCCAAGCCCCUCUAUAAAAGAAUAUUAAAAUCAAGGCUCGUGCUGUUAUGAGUUUCUGGAACAACAGUCCCAGAGGCAACAGCUGCUCUUUCUUAUUGUUGUAACAGCAACUCUCUUGGCAGCACUGAGAUGGGCUUUUAUAAACUUCCCUGGAGGGAACCCACUGAAGUUCAAAAGUGAUCCCCACCAAUUCCUGACCUCUGUGUGAUCCAGAAGACGCCCUGCCAGCCACCAGCUAGCUAUGCAAGGUGGGGCCCAUGAGCCCCUCCUCCAAUGAACUACACAAGAAGGAAAUGAAAAAGAGAGAGAAAGAGAGCUCUCCAAGAGCCUGGACAGCAUUCCUCUGUAUCUAAUGGUCCUCCUCUGAGGCAGCUGCUGCCUUCAGGCAUGACUUCCCAUCUGGAUACUGGGAAGGCCUUAGGUCAGGCGUCAGCACUUUGCACCAGAGAUACUCAUGAGUUUUAACCUCCAAAGGAACAAGGCAAGGAUCCUCUUUGCUGAAGAGACUCCAAAAGAGAACAAAAAUUGAGCUUUUGGGGAAGAAGCCUGACCUGACAGGUCUCUGGUUUGCUAAGGAGACAGCAGCACCACUUGCAGGUUAGUGUGGCCCCGGGGAAGCAGAGGUUACAAUGCAGAAGGUUCCAGACACAUCAGUCCCAUCUGGAUGACAAUCUUUUGAGACACAGCCCCCGUAGCUCCCCAUUGCCAUGAGAAGUGCAUAAGACUUGUCAACAGCGUGUCAGUCCCUUUGGACAGCUCCAGGGUCUUCUUCUCAUCAUUGUGACACAGAACAUCCAUUAAAUUUAUCUGUACACCAAGA